GACGAACGCUGGCGGCGUGCUUAACACAUGCAAGUCGAACGGAAAAGCGCCUUUGGGGGUACUGGAGGGGCGAACGGGGCAAAAACGCGUGAGAAACCUGCGUUACACUUCGCCAUCACUUCGGGAAACGCGGGAUAAUACCGGUAAUGAGGGAUUGCUGCGUGGUGGGGCAUGGAAGGCUUGGGCGGUAUUGGAUGGACUCGCGGCAUGUCAGCGCGUUGUUGGGGUAGUGGCGUGCCAAGGCGGUGACGGGUAGCCGGCCUGCGCGGGCGGCCGGCCACAGUGGGACUGCGUUACGGCCCAGACUCCUACGGGUGGCAGCCGUGGGGAAUAUUGCACAAUGGGCGGCGGCCUGAUGCAGCAACGCCGCGUGCGGGAUGACGGCCUUCGGGUUGUAGACCGCUUUCAGCAGGGGCGAAGCUUGUGGUGACGGUACCUGCAGAAGAAGCACCGGCUAACUACGUG
rnacentral:rRNA from 1 species